GACGAACGCUGGCGGCGUGCUUAACACAUGCAAGUCGAACGGAAAGGCCCUGCUUUUGUGGGGUGCUCGAGUGGCGAACGGGUGAGUAACACGUGAGUAACCUGCCCUUGACUUUGGGAUAACUUCAGGAAACUGGGGAUAAUACCGGAUAGGAGCUCCUGCUGCAUGGGGGGGGUUGGAAAGUUUCGGCGGUUGGGGAUGGACUCGCGGCUUAUCAGCUUGUUGGUGGGGUAGUGGCUUACCAAGGCUUUGACGGGUAGCCGGCCUGAGAGGGUGACCGGCCACAUUGGGACUGAGAUACGGCCCAGACUCCUACGGGAGGCAGCAGUGGGGAAUAUUGCACAAUGGGCGGAAGCCUGAUGCAGCAACGCCGCGUGCGGAAUGACGGCCUUCUGGUUGUAAACCGCUUUCGCCUGUGACGAAGCGUGAGUGACGGUAAUGGGUAAAGAAGCACCGGCUAACUACGUG
rnacentral:rRNA from 1 species